rnacentral:rRNA from 1 species
UACGUAGGAGGCAAGCGUUGUCCGGAAUUACUGGGCGUAAAGCGCGUGUAGGUGGUGGGACAAGUCUGCUGUGAAAGCGCCUGGCUUAACCGGGCGAGGUCGGCGGAAACUGUCCGACUCGAGGACGGUAGAGGGGGGUGGAAUUCCCGGUGUAGUGGUGAAAUGCGUAGAGAUCGGGAGGAACACCUGUGGCGAAGGCGGCCCCCUGGGCCGGCCCUGACACUGAGACGCGAAGGCGUGGGGAGCGAUCGGG